GUAAAAAACAAUCAUCCAAUUAAUUACUUCAUUACUGCCUUAAUUGCUAUGGAUAGCAUAGAUCCACUUUCAACCACUUCGUCCCCCCGCGUUUACCGGGAGUUUUUAUGAAUUUCUUAUUGUAGAAGUACAACUUCGCCCAUAGAUAGACACACAGCUCAUGAUCCCAGCUCACCUCAUGAGUCAUGACUGAUGAGUAGCAGUAGCAUCAAAGAUAUAAAAUGCAAGUUAAAAAAGGCAAAAAGCGAUGUGCCCUUUUUCUUGGCCAUCCCCUGAGAUUCAUGGGCUGUUCCUACUCUUUAUUAGCAAAAGAAAAAAACAGAAGCAAAUAAAUGCACUCCCUUACCAGCAUGGAAUUUUUUGCUCAUAGCAUAAAGUCAAGUACAGCAUCCAAGCUGUUUAAUUCUAGUACCAAGCUGGAAAACUUGUCUCAUGUGUAGUAUAUACACCACCAGCACAGCUCCAGUUG
rnacentral:sRNA from 1 species